UCUGCUGAUAUUGUGGAUGUCACAGCGAGGUGCUCCUAACUGUGUUAAUCCGCAGCAGGAAGUAGUCCCUCUCUUAGCAUAGCAUCACGUGUGGACAAGAACAGAGCGUUUUACACACUGAUCCAUCUAGUUCAUGUUUUUAUUGUGUAGUUGACAGAAGUUGCAGAGAACUGGCAUGAAGUCGACACUGAGUGGAAUGAUUGGUAACAACACAAGUCUAUGGCUUACCAAGCACGACACCCUACGUACAAACGCAACUCACUCAACCAUUUCUUCUUCCAUAAAUAUCAAAAGGGGAAAGGAACAGAGGCCCCCAUGGGCCUAAAGUGGGGAUAAAAGUCUCUUUACCGAGACAGCUUAGCACUCAAAAGAGUUAAACACACCCAGGUUUCUGUCAUGGCUUCCCCUCUGCAAGCAGGUUGAACAAAGAGACCGAGACGAGAGAUAGAUCUGGACUGUCACAUGAGGGUUCCACGCAGCCCAACGCACUGUAGGAACCCUCCGCAGCAUGGAGACCCCCUCCCUGUCCAGCCUCCACCCUUCUGACACCCACCCACCCCUCGGGACCCUCGCCAGCUUCGCUUUACACCUUUAUUUUAGGCGAGUCCCCAGGAGAUGCAGCCCAGGUCUUUUAGACGACCAGCAGCGCUGACCCAAAAGUGCUUUUUUUUUAACAAAGUUGGAAUGGUUGAGAUCUCACUACAUGGAGAAAGACACAUGGCAGACUGUGGGGGGGCUCUGCAUCCAUUUGAUCUCAUCAAAUCACACCACGUGUCCGAGCCUCGGCUUCAGCGCUCCACCGUCACCGGGUCAAAAAACAGCAUCUCACACUGCACGUAAAGAGGUG
ensembl:lncRNA